rnacentral:lncRNA from 1 species
UUGUCACUUGGAGAUCCCAACUCUUUCAAUGAAAUUUUUUUUUUCUUAUUUUAACUACUGAAUAUGUGGUGCAGCCUUGUGACUCUUAAGAGUUCAAGUUUUAAAACAGAGGGAUUCUAGCAUUAUCUUUGGUGGAUAAAGAAUUAUUUGAGGCUAUUUUGAAGUAAACCAUAAAAGUGUAGGAUGUAAAAUGAUAGACUAAGAACCUCUCUCCGUAUAGCAUGUAUCAAUGAGUUGAAGAAUGGGCGCACGAAAAAGCUGAGGAGGUGUAUUAUGCAGUGUUGCUUUCUCUAUUAUUCAGUGUGGGUAAACACACAGUUGAUAAUUUUGACCAGUUCAUCAAUUUUCUUUAUUAAUUGCAAGAUUUACCUUUAUUUUUUAUUCACAU